AUGAUUUAUUUUCAUAAUUUUUACUAAUGGGUUCAGUGUAGGUUUUGUUUUUUUUCAGAAAUUCUGAAGGUUUCGAGUUUAUGUUUGGGUAAUUUAGCUUCUGGAUUUCUUCCAUUUCGAGCAUUUUAAAGAAAGAUGUUAGAGAGAACUCAUCACCAGUUACUGUUGUGAAAUUCAUUCACUCCUUGGCCAAUUCAAUUGAAUUUUCAACAUUGAGGUGAAGAGCUAAAAAGGAAGAAUUAACGUUGAAAGAAACCAAAAAGGAGCUAAAAGAGAAGUGAACUAUUAGUCCCUUCGCACUUAUGUAAAAGGACCCACACCUGUGAAUCCACACCAACAAAAGGAGAGACACACCUACGAAAAAGUACUAUUCCAUAGGUUUUGUCCCAGUAAAAUAGAAGUUGCACCUCUGAAUCCGCUUAUAUGGAUAAUUUGCCUCUUUUGCGAGAAUUAAAAUUCAAGGAAACUGCACUCCUGCGAAGUUUGAGGUGCAACGACGAUGGUCACACAUCUGACCUAGUAACCGCAUAUGUGCCUAACGGGCAACAAUAAUGUCUUUUCACUCUUUUGGAAACCCCAAUACGAAUAAAAAGGCAUCCGAAUCUUUGGAAAAGAUAUCAAUCACCUAUAAUUGAUAGAGCAUUGACAUCUAUACCUAAAGUUGGGAGGACAGAGCUACCACUGAACUUGAAGAGUGAAGAUUGUGAGCUUAAAUGUGUAAAUCUUAAUAUCUUGUUUCAACUCUUGAUUUUGCUUGAAUAUUCAUAGUUGUAGUGUUUGAUUUUCAGAUUUUGAUAUUGUGUUAGAGAUAAAAAAAAAUUGGAUUUUGAUUCUUUCUUUCUGCUUUUAUAAUUAAUUGAAUAUUAGCUAGUUUAUAA